rnacentral:rRNA from 1 species
AGAGUUUGAUCCUGGCUCAGGACGAACGCUGGCGGCGUGCCUAAUACAUGCAAGUAGAACGCUGAAGAGAGGAGCUUGCUCUUCUUGGAUGAGUUGCGAACGGGUGAGUAACGCGUAGGUAACCUGCCUUGUAGCGGGGGAUAACUAUUGGAAACGAUAGCUAAUACCGCAUAACAAUGGAUGACACAUGUCAUUUAUUUGAAAGGGGCAAUUGCUCCACUACAAGAUGGACCUGCGUUGUAUUAGCUAGUAGGUGAGGUAACGGCUCACCUAGGCGACGAUACAUAGCCGACCUGAGAGGGUGAUCGGCCACACUGGGACUGAGACACGGCCCAGACUCCUACGGGAGGCAGCAGUAGGGAAUCUUCGGCAAUGGGGGCAACCCUGACCGAGCAACGCCGCGUGAGUGAAGAAGGUUUUCGGAUCGUAAAGCUCUGUUGUAAGUCAAGAACGAGUGUGAGAGUGGAAAGUUCACACUGUGACGGUAGCUUACCAGAAAGGGACGGCUAACUACGUGCCAGCAGCCGCGGUAAUACGUAGGUCCCGAGCGUUGUCCGGAUUUAUUGGGCGUAAAGCGAGCGCAGGCGGUUUGAUAAGUCUGAAGUUAAAGGCUGUGGCUCAACCAUAGUUCGCUUUGGAAACUGUCAAACUUGAGUGCAGAAGGGGAGAGUGGAAUUCCAUGUGUAGCGGUGAAAUGCGUAGAUAUAUGGAGGAACACCGGUGGCGAAAGCGGCUCUCUGGUCUGUAACUGACGCUGAGGCUCGAAAGCGUGGGGAGCGAACAGGAUUAGAUACCCUGGUAGUCCACGCCGUAAACGAUGAGUGCUAGGUGUUGGCCAGAGAUGGUCGGUGCCGCAGCAAACGCAAUAAGCACUCCACCUGGGGAGUACGACCGCAAGGUUGAAACUCAAAGGAAUUGACGGGGGCCC